rfam:Habropoda laboriosa contig16789, whole genome shotgun sequence.
UCCUCGUUAGUAUAGUGGUCAGUAUCUCCGCCUGUCACGCGGAAGACCGGGGUUCGAUUCCCCGACGGGGAG